GAGAGGGGCCAGGGACUUGCAUGGACAAUUAGAAUGUCACGUGCUACCUCCACUCACCUUUCACUUGCCUGAGCAGAUCACAAGGCAUCAGCUCAUUUCACAAGAUGGUGAAGUAACAACAGUUUUACCACGUUUCAGAAAGAGGAAUGCUCAGAAAUUGUUGACAGAGCUUCGGUGCCUACCAGAGAUGACAGACAGUUCAAAAGGUGAUGGGAUCAAAGGACUGGAGUGCUCCCGGGGCUGUGGGAUUUCUCCGCUGGGAAAGGUAGAGAGUGCUGUACCUUGGAGGCACAGCUAGAGUGGGUGAAGGGGCUUGAAGUAGAGUUUCCAAAGCUACUGGAGAUACCAAAGGGAAGACAUGACCAUGUGUGUGGACACUGGAGGGACCUUCUGCCUGCCCGUCUGCUGCCUGAAGACCUCUUCCACCUAGGAAGCAGACAACGCUCACCAGUGCUCACCAAGACGACGUUCAUCUGUAUGAGCCUCACAUCUGCACGAACAUGUGUCUGACAGGAAAUGGAUAUCGGGGCAUGCUGUGCUCCAGCAACCGUAAUAGGGCAGAAUUAACCUCUGUGUAAGGAAACCCUUCCCCAGCCAGGGGAUGGAGAUUAAUAAGCUGAAGGCUUACCUUUGUGAGACUUGCCUAAGCCCAACAUGGAAACCCCUCUUCCGAGUAAGAGCCUGCCAUACACCAGUAAGUGGAAU
rnacentral:lncRNA from 1 species